CUCCCACUCAGAAUAAGCUGAAUUGCUUUGCAAAUAUAUGCAGAUACAUGCGAAUAACAAAGCCAUUAACAUGUGCACUAAGCCUCAAAGGAAAAGGUUUGCUUUGAUCAAAGCUCAUAAUGGGAUGUAUCCACAGGGCAGGAAAACAGCAUCCUGCUCAGCCCAAACAAGGAAUGGCUCAGACUAGGCCAGAGAGCCUUGCCUUAGAAACCAAUGUUCAUUCCCCUAUCCAGUGUGAUUCUAGGAGGAGCAGCCUGCAGAGCCAUGAGAAUACCAAUUCUCAGGCAAACCCCUAGAACUAGUGAGGGAGACUAUGCAUGCUAUGAAGAUGUCAGGUAUCUGAAAUAUUAUGGUAAGAAGUCUGAUUUCUCAGUUUACGAGGAAGCCCAUGUGGAGAAGGGGUCUGCAAAAGGUUUAAGAGGAGAGAGAGAGAAGGAAGAAGAAGAAAAGGAAGAAGAAAGAAGGAGGAGGAGGAGGAGGAAGAAGAAGAAGAAGAAGAAGAAGAAGAAGAAGAAGAAGAAGAAGAAGAAG
rnacentral:lncRNA from 1 species